CGGGGCGUGGCGCAGCCUGGCAGCGCGCCUGCUUUGGGAGCAGGAGGUCCCGGGUUCGAAUCCCGGCGCCCCGA
rnacentral:tRNA from 1 species